rnacentral:rRNA from 1 species
GGAGGAAAAGAAACCAACCGGGAUUGCCUUAGUAACGGCGAGUGAAGCGGCAAAAGCUCAAAUUUGAAAUCUGGCGUCUUCGACGUCCGAGUUGUAAUUUGAAGAAGGCGACUUUGUAGCUGGUCCUUGUCUAUGUUCCUUGGAACAGGACGUCAUAGAGGGUGAGAAUCCCGUGUGGCGAGGAUCCCAGUUAUUUGUAAAGUGCUUUCGACGAGUCGAGUUGUUUGGGAAUGCAGCUCUAAGUGGGUGGUAAAUUCCAUCUAAAGCUAAAUAUUGGCGAGAGACCGAUAGCGAACAAGUACAGUGAUGGAAAGAUGAAAAGAACUUUGAAAAGAGAGUGAAAAAGUACGUGAAAUUGUUGAAAGGGAAGGGCAUUUGAUCAGACAUGGCGUUUGCUUCGGCUUUCGCUGGGCCAGCAUCAGUUUUAGCGGUUGGAUAAAUCCUCGGGAAUGUGGCUCUGCUUCGGUAGAGUGUUAUAGCCCGUGGGAAUACAGCCAGCUGGGACUGAGGAUUGCGACUUUUGUCAAGGAUGCUGGCGUAAUGGUUAAAUGCCGCCCGUCUUGAAACACGGACCUCCUGUGUGAAGGGAUCCGCUA